rnacentral:rRNA from 1 species
UACAGAGGGGGCAAGCGUUGUUCGGAAUUACUGGGCGUAAAGGGCGCGUAGGCGGCCUUCUAAGUCGAACGUGAAAUCCCCGGGCUCAACCCGGGAAUUGCCUUCAAGACUGUCGAGCUAGAGGACGAGAGAGGUGAGUGGAAUUCCCAGUGUAGAGGUGAAAUUCGUAGAUAUUGGGAAGAACACCGGUGGCGAAGGCGGCUCACUGGCUCGUUUCUGACGCUGAGGCGCGAAAGCGUGGGGAGCAAACAGG